CAACAAGAUCACAUGGGAUGCAGAGGAACAGAGAAUACUGCUCGGAGGAUAAAAACGAGCCAACUGAAGAAGACCUGGUGUUGGCUACACCAGACAAAGGUCUACACAACCGUUUCAAUGGGGCUCGAAAGCUAAUGAAGGGUGUGGAGUGUAUCAAAAACCGCCAUAUGAACAAUACUGAAGUAGCAACCAAAAAACCUAGAAAGGACAACAAAGAGAAAUCCUGGAAGUGAAACAAAAAGAGAAUGAAAGACUGGCCAGAAGGCUUCAAACGCGGAACUGAACCGGCAGAAGACUCUCUGAGAUCAAAACUGGGACUAUGCAAAUGAGUGAAUCUAAAGAAAAGAAAGAAGAAAAGAUGGAAUAAUGGGGAAUAUAGUAUUGGGGACUUGGUGAAAACUCCCCAAAUUUGAUGAAAGAAAGAAACCAUCUAAGAAGCUGAGUUUAAUCCAUGUAGGCAGAACUAUGUCCAAAUGAAAGACGCAUGUUAUAACCAAGCUAUUGGAAGACAAAGAUAAGAUGACUUAAAAUCACCCAGGAGUUUACAACCUAAAGAGAAAAGCAUGACAAGAGUGACCAGUGAUGGGACGAGAGACCAGUGACCAGUGACGAGAGAGCUGAAGGGGAAGCAGUCCUGGAGUGGAGAGGCUUCGAACACUAUACCGCAGAGGAGGCUGGUUCGCCUGCCCUCAGCAGCCUGGAACCUUGGAUUUGGGACAGCUCAACUUGCAUGCUUCAUGCAGCAGCUGUGCUCUGACCUGAGGGAAGAAACAGGGCCCAAACCGGAGUGGCCCAGCGCAGGAACGCAGCCCCCGGGGUCCAGCCAUCUGAAAAACAGGCUGAAGGACCCUCACAUCAUGAACCACUCCACACAGCCACCCCCUCGGAGGGAAACUCACUCAGGCAUGGCCAUCUCGACAUUGCUAUGCGCUUUACCUCGUGUUAAAAUUCUGAACGUUCACAUUGUUGAAACAACACUGGGAGAGAGAAAGUGUGUUUGUGG
rnacentral:lncRNA from 1 species